rnacentral:rRNA from 1 species
ACGAACGCUGGCGGCGUGCUUAACCCCUGCCAGUCGAACGGUGAAGCUCCAGCUUGCUGGAGUGGAUCAGUGGCGAACGGGUGAGUAACACGUGAGCAACCUGCCCCUGACUCUGGAAUAAGCGCUGGAAACGGCGUCUAAUACUGGAUACGAGAAGGGUCCGCAUGGGCACUUUCUGGAAAGUUUUUCGGUUGGGGAUGGGCUCGCGGCCUAUCAGCUUGUUGGUGAGGUAAUGGCUCACCAAGGCGACGACGGGUAGCCGGCCUGAGAGGGCGACCGGCCACACUGGGACUGAGACACGGCCCAGACUCCUACGGGAGGCAGCAGUGGGGAAUAUUGCACAAUGGGCGAAAGCCUGAUGCAGCGACGCCGCGUGAGGGAUGACGGCCUUCGGGUUGUAAACCUCUUUCAGCAGGGAAGAAGCGAAAGUGACGGUACCUGCAGAAGAAGCACCGGCUAACUACGUG